rnacentral:hammerhead_ribozyme from 1 species
AUCCAGCUGACGAGUCCAAAAUAGGUCGAAACUCGCCGUCAAACUAGAU